rnacentral:rRNA from 1 species
GAUGAACGCUGGCGGCGUGCCUAAUACAUGCAAGUCGAGCGAACGGACGAGAAGCUUGCUUCUCUCAUGUUAGCGGCGGACGGGUGAGUAACACGUGUAUAACCUACCUAUAAGACUGGGAUAACUUCGGGAAACCGGAGCUAAUACCGUAGGAUAUUUUGCACCGCAUUGUUCAAAGGUGAAAGACGGUCUUGCUGUCACUUAUCGAUGGAUCCGCGCUGCAUUAGCUAGUUGGUAAGUUAACGGCUUACCAAGGCAACGAUGCAUAGCCGACCUGAGAGAGUGAUCGGCCACACUGGAGCUGGGCCGCGGUCCAGAGUCCUACGGGACGCAGCAGUAGGGAAUCUUCCGCAGUGGGCGAAAGCCUGACGGAACAACGCCGCGUGAGUGAUGGCGGUCUUCGGAUCGUAAAACUCUGUUAUUAGGGAAGAACAUAUGUGUACGUAACUGUGCACAUCUUGACGGUACCUAAUCAGAAAGCAACGGCUAACUACGUG